ACCAGCUGGCUCCCGGUUCGGGCAAAGAUGAGAUUCAGGUUGAGUCCUUCCUCUGGCGCUGUAACUGUCAGAUUUCUUUUUGUUUUAUACAUUUCUUAAAGUUCAUGAGAAAGGAAUUGCGAACUGAAGCUUACACGGUGAAGUUAAACAAGAUUUUUAGCGGGAGCAAGUGGGGGGAUGGUGCUAAAAAUGGAAAACGUAAAAAUGACUUAGGCUGAACCUAAGUUCCUUAGAGAACUUUGGAUCUCAAAGCUGCAUCAAAUGUCGGCUCCUUGGAUAUCACCCUUACGGCGGCCGUCGAUAAUAAACGGAGUUUAUUGCUAAUCGCGGUGACGGAGAACACCGCCGCAGCUGACACAGCACUUCCACGGGGCCGCGAAGUCAAGGUUGGAAUUAACUGAGAAUUCCAAGUUUGGUUUCAAUGCAACGAACUUGAUUAGGUUUACGUAAGGUUCAUGGAACUACAGCCCAGGAUUGGGGGGAGUGGGGAGGGUUUUUAGGUGCCAGGUGCUGCUGCUUGCUUUCGAAGAGAUUUAAAGUUAAUGGGAGAUUGAAGAUUGAUGGAACCUGUGGAAGUUCCAGUGAUGAACAAUCAAGAAAUUUGCUUGGACGGGAAUCUCCGUGCUAAUGACAACAUAGACGAUACGGAAUCUUAGAACAAAUCCCUGACAUCGUGUUUUUAACUCCUCAAUACUUUGGUAAAUAUCAAAUACUUUGACCUUUGGCCUGCUGAGGAAUCGCGUCAGUUGUCAUGAUGUCCCACAUCUGGGAUCUCUCCAAUUAUUUCUUUGUGUCAUUAAACAAUUUGUUUCUCUA